rnacentral:rRNA from 1 species
CCUACGGGCGGCAGCAGUGAGGAAUAUUGGUCAAUGGGCUUACGCCUGAACCAGCCAAGCCGCGUGAGGGAAGACUGCCCUAUGGGUUGUAAACCUCUUUUGUCAGGGACGAAGAAAGUGACGGUAUCUGUGGAAUAAGCCACGGCUAACUACGUGACAGCAGCCGCGGUAAUACGUAGGUGGCAAGCGUUAUCCGGAUUUAUUGGGUGUAAAGGGCGUGUAGGCGGGAGCGCAAGUCAGAUGUGAAAACUCUGGGCUCAACCCUGAGCCUGCAUUUGAUACUGUGUUUCUUGAGUGCUGGAGAGGCAAGCGGAAUGCCGGGUGUAGCGGUGAAAUGCGUAGAGAUACGGAGGAACACCAGUGGCGAAGGCGGAUUGCUAGACAGUAACUGACGCUGAGGCGCGAAAGCGUGGGGAGCAAACAGGAUUAGAUACCCCUGUAGUC